GUCAAAGUGAAGAAAUUCAACCAAGCGCGGGUAAACGGCGGGAGUAACUAUGACUCUCUUAAUCUAGCCAAAUGAAUCGUCAUCUAAUUAGUGACGCGCAUGAAUGGAUUAAUGAGAUUUCCACUGUCCCUAUCUACUAUCCUGAGAAACCACAACCAAGGGAAUGGGCUUGGCAGAAUCAGCAGGGAAAGAAGACCCUAAUGAGCUUGACUCUAGUCCGACUUUGUGAAAUGACUUGAGAGGUGUAGUAUAAGUGGGAGCCGAAAGGCGAAAGUGAAAUACCACUACUUUUAACGUUAUUUUGCUUAUUCCGUGAAUUGGAAGCGGGGCACUACCCCUCUUUUUGGACCCAAGGCUUGCUUGCAGGCCGAUCCGGGCGAAAGACAUUAUCUGGUGGGGAGUUUGGCUGGGGCGGCACAUUUGUUAAAAGAUAACGCAGGUGUCCUAAAAUGAGCUCAAUGAGAACAAAAAUCUCGUGUGGAACAGAAGGGUAAAAGCUCGUUUGAUUCUGAUUUUCAGUACGAAUACGAACCGUGAAAGUGUGGCCUAACAAUCUAUUAGACCUUCGAAAUUCGAAGCUAGAGGUGUCAGAAAAGUUACCACAGGGAUAACUGGCUUGUGGCAGCCAAGCAUUCAUAGCGAUGUUGCUUUUUGAUCCUUCGAUGUCGGCUCUUCCUAUCAUUGUGAAGUAGAAUUCACCAAGUGUUGGAUUGUUCACCCACCAAUAGGGAACAUGAGCUAGGUUUAGACCGUCGUGAGACAGGUUAAUUUUACCCUACUGAUGAUAGUGCCACAAUAGUAAUUCAACCUAGUACGAGAGGAACCGUUGAUUCGCACAAUUGGUCAUCACGCUUGGUUGAAAAGCCAGUGGUGCGAAGCUACCGUGCACUGGAUUAUGACUUAACGCCUCUAAGUUAGAAUCCAGGCUAGAAGCUACGCAUGCGCCCGCUGUCUGCUUGCCGACCCGCAGUAGGGGCCUUUGGCCGCCAAGGGCACAUGUCGUUGGCUAAGUCAUCACGGCGGAAGAGCCGCGGUGUCCGCCUUGAAGUACAAUUUCCAUUAAGUGGCAGGUAGAAUCCUUUGCAGAUGACUUAAAUACGCGAUGAGAUUUGUAAGUGGCAGAGUGGCCUUGCUUCCACGAUCUACUGAGAUUCAGCCCUUUGUCGCUCCGAUUCGUCCCUGUCCCUCCA
rnacentral:rRNA from 1 species